rnacentral:rRNA from 1 species
CCUACGGGUGGCAGCAGUGAGGAAUAUUGGUCAAUGGGCGUAAGCCUGAACCAGCCAAGUCGCGUGAGGGAUGAAGGUUCUAUGGAUCGUAAACCUCUUUUAUAAGGGAAUAAAGUGUGGGACGUGUCCUGUUUUGUAUGUACCUUAUGAAUAAGGAUCGGCUAACUCCGUGCCAGCAGCCGCGGUAAUACGGAGGAUGCGAGCGUUAUCCGGAUUUAUUGGGUUUAAAGGGUGCGUAGGCGGGUUAUCAAGUCAGCGGUAAAAUCGUGGAGCUCAACUCCAUCCAGCCGUUGAAACUGAUGAUCUUGAGUGGGCGAGAAGUAUGCGGAAUGCGUGGUGUAGCGGUGAAAUGCAUAGAUAUCACGCAGAACUCCGAUUGCGAAGGCAGCAUACCGGCGCCCGACUGACGCUGAAGCACGAAAGCGUGGGUAUCGAACAGGAUUAGAUACCCGAGUAGUC